rnacentral:rRNA from 1 species
CCUACGGGAGGCUGCAGUGGGGAAUAUUGGACAAUGGGCGAAAGCCUGAUCCAGCCAUGCCGCGUGUGUGAAGAAGGCCUUCGGGUUGUAAAGCACUUUCAGUGGGGAAGAAAGCCUUGGGGCUAAUACCCUCGAGGAAGGACAUCACCCACAGAAGAAGCACCGGCUAACUCCGUGCCAGCAGCCGCGGUAAUACGGAGGGUGCGAGCGUUAAUCGGAAUUACUGGGCGUAAAGCGCGCGUAGGCGGUCUGAUAAGCCGGUUGUGAAAGCCCCGGGCUCAACCUGGGAACUGCAUCCGGAACUGGCAGGCUAGAGUGCAGGAGAGGUAGGUAGAAUUCCCGGUGUAGCGGUGAAAUGCGUAGAGAUCGGGAGGAAUACCGGUGGCGAAGGCGGCCUUCUGGACUGACACUGACGCUGAGGUGCGAAAGCGUGGGUAGCAAACAGGAUUAGAUACCCGGGUAGUC